AUUAACAAAAUAAUAGAAGUCAAUAGAAAUACAGCGCCUCUCACCAUGGCACAGGAAAGCCAUAGGCAGCCGGGCAGUCUUAAGUCUGCUGUGCCAGUACUGGGGGCGAUAGUCAUUGUCGCUAAACUAGACUUGGACUGGGGGAGUCGUUCAGAGGACAUCUUCAGAGACAGGCUUGUCCUCUGGCCACCCUUCAGACUGAGGACUCAUCUCUCUCAAAUGGGACACCACCCCUCACAUUUAUUUCUCAAAGUUGCUUCCAUCAGCCAAUGGAAGAUAAAACCCUGUAAUAUUCUCAUGUGGCUUCACUGAAUGUGGUUCUUCUUGUGAUAGAAUAAACAAAAUCUCAGUCCUGUCGCACCACCUGUGUGAACAAAAGUGGACAACCUGCAUACUCUCCGCAGUUUGCAUCAGUUAUACUGUGACUGCGUUUGGUACAUGUUCUCCCCACCUGUUGGCUUCUGUGCCACCGAUGAUGGCUUCUGGCAUGCAGUCUGCUCCACUCAGCCUCUCCUUUCCUCUCAGCAAGCAGCCCUUAUGUGCAGAAUGUGGAAUAAAGUGGUUACAAACAGUAACCUAUUCCUAUUCGGUAACAGGAUCAUCUUCCAGAUGCAUCGAUGUGGUCCUUGGGCAAGACCUGCAGCCGCUGCCUCCUGGUGUCCAGCGGUGUUCUUUGCCCAGAGGGCUGCUCCAGCCCGAUGUCUCUCCACCUGGCCAGGGAGAAGAUUCCGUCGACGGGGGGGACAGCCGCAUUGUGGGGGGCAGUCCCGCAACGUCCGGAGGCAGUUCUCCGACAGACCGCCCCACUUCACAAGGGGACAGUGCAUUCCAGUAUGGAAAACCAGGCAGGCCAGGACAACACGGCAAACCAGAGGAGGCUGUAUAUGGGGGGCGGCCUGUUCAGUAUGGAAGACCUAAAGACCCUGGCCCAUAUGGGAGCAGGCCUCAGUAUGGUCCUGGCCCCGUACAAUAUGGCCGACCAGGAAGUUCUGUUCCGUAUGGGGCUGACCAAUAUGGUGGCGGCCCCUACGAUGGGUCAAAUACUGGUUACGGCAUCAGGGUUAACCCCCCUCGGGUAGAAUGGAAGAACCCGGGUAUCCCCUAUAUCCCAUCUCCUCAGGAGCUGGGUGGUGGCUACAUCCCGUUACCAAAGAGGUCCCCUCAGUAUAAUCCCAAUGGACCAUAUGCAGUUCCGUACGGAGGUGGUGGUCGUCAGUACCCUUCAGCCUAUGGUGGGGAGUCUGCGGAAUCAGGCCCCAGAGGCAGAUAUGAUGGCAGCUACGGUCCCAUCCCAGAAAGCUUGCAACCUGGUGGUGGACAACGUGGCAGAUACAGCAAGGAUCAAGAUCCCCCUUGCAUUCCAAACUGUUAAGUGGGGGGGGGGCAGAUUGGCCUAGAUCAGGGUAAGCAGGCUGGGAGAUGCUGGCACUUGUGGUCUAAAAAGGAAACUUUUUCUGAUCCCUGGCUGGGAGCAAUGGGAAUUUAAAACAUCUGGAAGGGGCCAUAUUAUCCCUUCUGGCAACUCAUGGUGGAUAGGAUGCCUAUGCCUGUUUCCAUCUCCCAGGAAGGAACUAUGAGACCGCAGGACAGAGUGGAUGGGGGAAUCAAGAGGUGACUAUAUUGCCCCUUUUGCAGAAUGUAACCUAGACCAAUGUUCUCCCGAAAUUAGGAAAUCAGUCUAUUAGAGCUGCUGGAUAGCUCAGUUGUUUAGGUCUCUGGAUGUAGAGCCAGAGGUUGGCAGUUCAAUUCCCCACUGGGCCUCCUUGAGAGAAGUUGUACGUGAUGAUCCAAAGUGUCCCUUCCGCUUUGCAGUUCAAAGGUUAUUAUUAUUAUUAUUCAAACAAUUUUUAAAAAUAUGCUGGAUCUAGUGCAGUACAUUAUUAUUAUUAUUAUUAUUAUUAUUCACACAGUUUUUAAAAAUAUGCUGGAUCUAGUACAGUAUAGUAGGACUCCUUAACUGUAUCCACUGAUUCACUUAUCCACAGUCUGAAAAAUAUUAAAAGUAAAAUCCCCUCCCCAAUAUAUAUUUUUAAUGAUGAAGUUACUAGAACUGGUCACUAGAGUGAGCCAGAGACCAUGCCAUGUAGAGCAUUCGCCAUACGGAGCCAGAGACCAUGCCAUGUAUAGCAUUCGCCAUACAUGUCUCACUCUGCCAAGGUGGGGAGACAUCAACUUGUUCACUAGAAUUUACAUUUUUCAGCAUUGGGAUGGCGGCAGCAGGUGGCAGCUUGGAACUCAUCCCUCGUGGAUACAGGAUUCCUACUGUAUUACAAAAUAAAAUGGGUUCAAAAUUUACUGUUAUGAUUCCC
rnacentral:lncRNA from 1 species